GAUGAUGACCAGGAUCCAGUCUUUCCACUUCCCAACUUGGUUUGUGGAUACUGAAUCCACAAGUGUUUGGGGAUGAACACAAGUAUUUUCCAGAUAUGCUGAAGAUCUGCAGCUCUUCUGAAUUUCACUGCAGGGUCCAAGUGCUCAGCCCGUCUGAAGGUCAGAGUACUUCCAAAUGUAUUUAAAUGCUUGAAUCCCAAAACACAAAAUGUCAAAAGAAGAUCUUGACGAUGUCUUUGUGAAUAUGGCAAAAAUCAGCAAGGGCUUGAUAUCCCCAAUGAAAUAUCUGAAAAUGGUCUUUAAAUGACUGUAAAAUUUCUAGUGUUUGUGUAGAUUUUACCUCCUCCCCUUUUCCGUGAAUGUGUAGUGACUAUCCUGAUGUACCCUUUCUGAGCUACACUUCAAGCAAUGGAGCGCACUUUGUGGGGACAGCAGGGCAGCUGGUAAAAAGGAGUCCUCCAACUUUUCCUGAAACAGUCAUCAAAGUUUCUUUGUUAGUUCAAAUUACCAGUCUGGUGUAAUGGAUUUCUCACUACAUUGUUCAGAAGUGCAUCAGGCCUAGAUCCCUCCACUGCUGUUGCAUUCCCUAGUGUGCAGCCUCCGUUUGGUGCACUGUCUGGAGGCACUUUCUCAAGUACCUCUUCCUGGGAGGAAGCCUUGCGCAGGCCAAAACCCAUAGGCUAGCUGGAGCUGUUUAUAAUCUUGGAUGCAGCUGCUGGAGCAGGGAUAAGUGUCCAGCCACACUUGCUCCAGGGCAAGUGAUGUCCCUCGGCUCCAGGACCCUCAUGUCCCAGGAUCCACAUCCCUGUGAGGGGGUGAUCCUGCGCAAGAUGCAUGCGAGGAAAGGGCCUGCCUCCCUCCACCACUGGGGCUUAAAAGUGGCUAUGCCCACCACAGUGAGCCAGGGCAGCAUGGCUACAGGAGAACUCAGCCCAGGACCAGCCCUGCCAGCACGGGGUAGAGUCUUGCCUGUAGAGACCAGUCUGGGGCUGCUGGAAGAGCUGUUUUCCCCUUCCCUGGCCCUGGGGGAGUCCUCGGGCAGGCCUUCAGCCGGAAGGAAAACGCCAACCCUCACAAGCACCUUCAAGGCAAUAGUUUUAUUAGCAAGGAGUGGGGGAAACUCUCCUCCAAGUCCAGGUACCAGCUGGAGAAGGGGCUCAGCAUUUACGAGGGACUAUCAAGAGUUCUCAGUGCAAUGGUGCAAUGCAGUCGUCUGGGGAAACUCUCCUCCAAGUCCAGGUACCAGCUGGAGAAGGGGCUCAGCAUUUACGAGGGACUAUCAAGAGUUCUCAGUGCAAUGGUGCAAUGCAGUCGUCUGCAUGCUGCUCUUUGAAAAUAAAGAGGUAUGUCUCGAGCCCU
rnacentral:lncRNA from 1 species